rnacentral:rRNA from 1 species
UACAUGGGGUGCAAACGUUGCUCGGAAUUAUUGGGCGUAAAGCGCACGUAGGCGGUUUGUUAAGUCGGAUGUGAAAUCCCUCGGCUCAACUGAGGAAGUGCAUCCGAAACUGGCGAUCUCGAGUCCGGGAGAGGUGAGUGGAACUGCGAGUGUAGAGGUGAAAUUCGUAGAUAUUCGCAAGAACACCAGUGGCGAAGGCGGCUCACUGGCCCGGUACUGACGCUGAGGUGCGAAAGUGUGGGGAGCAAACAGG